rnacentral:rRNA from 1 species
AGUCAUAUGCUUGUCUCAAAGAUUAAGCCAUGCAUGUCUCAGUACAAGCCUAAUUAAGGUGAAACCGCGAAAGGCUCAUUAAAUCAGUUAUGGUUCCUUAGAUCGUACCCACAUUUACUUGGAUAACUGUGGUAAUUCUAGAGCUAAUACAUGCAAACAGAGCUCCGACCGGAGACGGAAGGAGCGCUUUUAUUAGAUCAAAACCAAUCGGCGGCGGGUUCGCGCCCGUCGUCGUACAACUUGGUGAAUCUGAAUAACUUUCUGCUGAUCGCAUGGUCUCGCACCGGCGACGCAUCUUUCAAAUGUCUGCCUUAUCAACUGUCGAUGGUAGGUUCUGCGCCUACCAUGGUUGUAACGGGUAACGGGGAAUCAGGGUUCGAUUCCGGAGAGGGAGCCUGAGAAACGGCUACCACAUCCAAGGAAGGCAGCAGGCGCGCAAAUUACCCACUCCCGGCACGGGGAGGUAGUGACGAAAAAUAACGAUACGGGACUCAUCCGAGGCCCCGUAAUCGGAAUGAGUACACUCUAAACCCUUUAACGAGGAUCAAUUGGAGGGCAAGUCUGGUGCCAGCAGCCGCGGUAAUUCCAGCUCCAAUAGCGUAU